rnacentral:rRNA from 1 species
GUGGGGAAUCUUCCGCAAUGGGCGAAAGCCUGACGGAGCAACGCCGCGUGAGUGAAGAAGGCCUUCGGGUUGUAAAACUCUGUCAUCAGGGAAGAAGAAAGUGACGGUACCUGAGGAGGAAGCCCCGGCUAACUACGUGCCAGCAGCCGCGGUAAAACGUAGGGGGCGAGCGUUGUCCGGAAUUACUGGGCGUAAAGGGCGCGUAGGCGGUUAUCCAAGUCAGGGGUGAAAACCUUGGGCUCAACCCAGGGCCUGCCUCUGAAACUGGGUGACUUGAGGGCAGGAGAGGGGAGUGGAAUUCCCAGUGUAGCGGUGAAAUGCGUAGAUAUUGGGAGGAACACCAGUGGCGAAGGCGGCUCUCUGGCCUGUUACUGACGCUGAGGCGCGAAAGCGUGGGGAUCAAACAGGAUUAGAAACCCUAGUAGUCC